UCGAGCGGUACAGACAUUGAUUGCUUGCAAAAUCUCGUGCUGACGAGCGGCGAACGGGUGAGUAACGCGUAGGAAUCUACCUAGUAGAAGGGGAUAGCCCGAGGAAACUCGGAUUAAUACCGUAUACGUCCUUAGGGAGAAAGAGGGCUUAGCUUUGAUGCUCUCGCUAUUAGAUGAGCCUGCGUAAGAUUAGCUUGUUGGUGAGGUAAAGGCUCACCAAGGCGACGAUCUUUAGCUGGUCUGAGAGGACGAUCAGCCACAUUGGGACUGAGACACGGCCCAGACUCCUACGGGAGGCAGCAGUGGGGAAUAUUGGACAAUGGGCGCAAGCCUGAUCCAGCCAUACCGCGUGUGUGAAGAAGGCCUUCGGGUUGUAAAGCACUUUAAGUAAGGAAGAAAAGAGUAUUGUUAAUACCAAUACUCCGUGACAUUACUUACAGAAUAAGGACCGGCUAAUUCCGUGCCAGCAGCCGCGGUAAUACGGAAGGUCCAAGCGUUAAUCGGAAUUACUGGGCGUAAAGCGCGCGUAGGUGGUUUGUUAAGUUGGGUGUGAAA
rnacentral:rRNA from 1 species